rfam:Klebsiella pneumoniae ISC21, WGS project CBWQ01000000 data, contig: c5
CUUUAAAAAUCUGGAUCAAGCUGAAAAUUGAAACGACACACAGUCAAUGUGUGUUCGAGUCUCUCAAAUUUUCGCAAUCAGAAGUGAAACAUCUUCGG